GAUGAACGCUGGCGGCGUGCCUAAUACAUGCAAGUCGAGCGAACAGACGAGGAGCUUGCUCCUCUGACGUUAGCGGCGGACGGGUGAGUAACACGUGGAUAACCUACCUAUAAGACUGGGAUAACUUCGGGAAACCGGAGCUAAUACCGGAUAAUAUAUUGAACCGCAUGGUUCAAUAGUGAAAGACGGUUUUGCUGUCACUUAUAGAUGGAUCCGCGCCGCAUUAGCUAGUUGGUAAGGUGACGGCUUACCAAGGCAACGAUGCGUAGCCGACCUGAGAGGGUGAUCGGCCACACUGGAACUGAGACACGGUCCAGACUCCUACGGGAGGCAGCAGUAGGGAAUCUUCCGCAAUGGGCGAAAGGCUGACGGAGCAACGACGCGUGAGUGAUGAAGGUCUUCGGAUCGUAAAACUCUGUUAUUAGGGAAGAACAAAUGUGUAAGUAACUAUGCACGUCUUGACGGUACCUAAUCAGAAAGCCACGGCUAACUACGUG
rnacentral:rRNA from 1 species